CUAGCAGUAUCAGAGUUUGAUCCUGGCUCAGAACGAACGCUGGCGGCAGGCUUAACACAUGCAAGUCGAGCGCCCCGCAAGGGGAGCGGCAGACGGGUGAGUAACGCGUGGGAAUCUACCCUUUUCUACGGAAUAACGCAGGGAAACUUGUGCUAAUACCGUAUGUGUCCUUCGGGAGAAAGAUUUAUCGGGAAAGGAUGAGCCCGCGUUGGAUUAGCUAGUUGGUGGGGUAAAGGCCUACCAAGGCGACGAUCCAUAGCUGGUCUGAGAGGAUGAUCAGCCACAUUGGGACUGAGACACGGCCCAA
rnacentral:rRNA from 1 species